rnacentral:rRNA from 1 species
GGGGAAUCUUCCGCAAUGGACGAAAGUCUGACGGAGCAACGCCGCGUGAGUGAUGACGGCCUUCGGGUUGUAAAGCUCUGUUAAUCGGGACGAAAGGCCUUCUUGCGAAUAGUUAGGAGGAUUGACGGUACCGGAAUAGAAAGCCACGGCUAACUACGUGCCAGCAGCCGCGGUAAUACGUAGGUGGCAAGCGUUGUCCGGAAUUAUUGGGCGUAAAGCGCGCGCAGGCGGAUCAGUCAGUCUGUCUUAAAAGUUCGGGGCUUAACCCCGUGAUGGGAUGGAAACUGCUGAUCUAGAGUAUCGGAGAGGAAAGUGGAAUUCCUAGUGUAGCGGUGAAAUGCGUAGAUAUUAGGAAGAACACCAGUGGCGAAGGCGACUUUCUGGACGAAAACUGACGCUGAGGCGCGAAAGCCAGGGGAGCGAACGGGAUUAGAUACCCCGGUAGUCCUGGCCGUAAACGAUGGGUACUAGGUGUAGGAGGUAUCGACCCCUUCUGUGCCGGAGUUAACGCAAUAAGUACCCCGCCUGGGGAGUACGACCGCAAGGUUG